UGAAUACGAGACGCUAAGGCGUCGAAGUAGUGUAUGUCAUACUUCCAAGAGAAGCUUGCACUGUCAUAAGUAAAAAAUGCCUGUACCAUAACCGACACAGGUGGGUAGGUAGAGUAUACUAAGGGGCGCGAGAUAACUCUCUCUAAGGAACUCGGCAAAAUAACUCCGUAACUUCGGGAGAAGGAGUACCUUAUUCUAUAAGGUUGCAAUAACAAGAUCCAAGCAACUGUUUAUCAAAAACACAGGUCUCCGCUAAGUCGUAAGACGAUGUAUGGGGGCUGACGCCUGCCCAGUGCCAGAAGGUUAAAGAAGUCGGUUAGCAUUAGCGAAGCUGGUAACUGAAGCCCUGGUGAACGGCGGCCGUAACAAUAACGGUCCUAAGGUAGCGAAAUUCCUUGUCGGGUAAGUUCCGACCCGCACGAAAGGCGUAAUGAUUUGGAUACUGUCUCGGAGAGGGGCUCGGUGAAAUAGACUUGUCUGUGAAGAUGCGGACUACCUGCACCAGGACAGAAAGACCCUAUGAAGCUUUACUGUAACUUGAAAUUGAAAUUGGACUUUAUUCGCGCAGUAUAGGUGGGAGGUGUUGAUUAUAAUCUUGCGGGAUUAUUGGAGCCAUCAGUGAGAUACCACUCUUGUAAUGUUAGAUUUCUAACUUUGAAUCAUUAUCUGGUCAAAGGACAGUUUCAGGCGGGCAGUUUGACUGGGGCGGUCGCCUCCCAAACGGUAACGGAGGCGUACAAAGGUUUCCUCUGAACGGGUAGAAAUCGUAUCUAGAGUGUAAAGGCAUAAGGAAGCUUGACUGUGAGACCUACAAGUCGAACAGGGACGAAAGUCGGUCUUAGUGAUCUGACGGUACUGAGUGGAAAGGCCGUCACUCAACGGAUAAAAGUUACUCUAAGGAUAACAGGCUGAUCUCCCCCAAGAGUUCACAUCGACGGGGAGGUUUGGCACCUCGAUGUCGGCUCAUCGCAUCCUGGGGCGGUAGUACGUCCCAAGGGUUGGGCUGUUCGCCCAUGAAAGCGGUACGCGAGCUGGGUUCAGAACGUCGUGAGACAGUUCGGUCCAUAUCCGGUGUAGGCGUUAGAAUAUUGAGAGGAGCCUUCUUUAGUACGAGAGGACCGAGAAGGACAUACCUCUGGUGUACCAGUUAUCGUGCCUACGGUAAACGCUGGGUAGCUAUGUAUGGAGUGGAUAACCGCUGAAAGCAUCUAAGUGGGAAGCCCACCUCAAGAUAAGUAUUCUCC
rnacentral:rRNA from 1 species